rnacentral:tRNA from 1 species
AGUCCCGUAGGGUAGUGGUCAAUCCUACCGGCCUUUGGAGCCGGCGACGGGGGUUCGAAUCCCCCCGGGACUA